rnacentral:rRNA from 1 species
GAUGAACGCUGGCGGCGUGCCUAAUACAUGCAAGUCGAACGAAACUUCUUUAUGACCGAGUGCUUGCAGUCACCGAUAGAGAGUUGAGUGGCGAACGGGUGAGUAACACGUGGGCAACCUGCGCAAACGAAGGGGAUAACACUUGGAAACAGGUUAUAAUACCGCAUAACCAUAGUUACCGCAUGGUAACUAUGUAGAAGGAGGCUGUAGUACCGCGUUUGGAUGGGCGCGCGGGGCAUUAGCUAGUUGGUAGGGUAAAGGCUUACCAAGGCAAUGAUCCGUAGCCGAAUUGAGAGGUUGAUCGGCCACAUUGGGACUGAGACACGGCCCAGACUCCUACGGGAGGCAGCAGUAGGGAAUCUUCCACAAUGGGCGAAAGCCUGAUGGAGCAACGCCGCGUGGGUGAAGAAGGUCUUCGGAUCGUAAAACCCUGUUGUUAGAGAAGAAAGUGCGUGGGAGUAACUGUUCACGUUUUGACGGUACCUAACCAGAAAGCCACGGCUAACUACGUG